GGCGAGGGGAGUGAAAAAGAACCUGAAACCGUGUACGUACAAGCAGUGGGAGCACAGAGCAAUCUGUGUGACUGCGUACCUUUUGUAUAAUGGGUCAGCGACUUAUAUUCUGUAGCAAGGUUAACCGAAUAGGGGAGCCGAAGGGAAACCGAGUCUUAACUGGGCGUUAAGUUGCAGGGUAUAGACCCGAAACCCGGUGAUCUAGCCAUGGGCAGGUUGAAGGUUGGGUAACACUAACUGGAGGACCGAACCGACUAAUGUUGAAAAAUUAGCGGAUGACUUGUGGCUGGGGGUGAAAGGCCAAUCAAACCGGGAGAUAGCUGGUUCUCCCCGAAAGCUAUUUAGGUAGCGCCUCGUGAAUUCAUCUCCGGGGGUAGAGCACUGUUUCGGCAAGGGGGUCAUCCCGACUUACCAACCCGAUGCAAACUGCGAAUACCGGAGAAUGUUAUCACGGGAGACACACGGCGGGUGCUAACGUCCGUCGUGAAGAGGGAAACAACCCAGACCGCCAGCUAAGGUCCCAAAGUCAUGGUUAAGUGGGAAACGAUGUGGGAAGGCCCAGACAGCCAGGAUGUUGGCUUAGAAGCAGCCAUCAUUUAAAGAAAGCGUAAUAGCUCACUGGUCGAGUCGGCCUGCGCGGAAGAUGUAACGGGGCUAAACCAUGCACCGAAGCUGCGGCAGCGACGCUGAUGCGUUGUUGGGUAGGGGAGCGUUCUGUAAGCCUGUGAAGGUGUGCUGUGAGGCAUGCUGGAGGUAUCAGAAGUGCGAAUGCUGACAUAAGUAACGAUAAAGCGGGUGAAAAGCCCGCUCGCCGGAAGACCAAGGGUUCCUGUCCAACGUUAAUCGGGGCAGGGUGAGUCGACCCCUAAGGCGAGGCCGAAAGGCGUAGUCGAUGGGAAACAGGUUAAUAUUCCUGUACUUGGUGUUACUGCGAAGGGGGGACGGAGAAGGCUAUGUUGGCCGGGCGACGGUUGUCCCGGUUUAAGCGUGUAGGCUGGUUUUCCAGGCAAAUCCGGAAAAUCAAGGCUGAGGCGUGAUGACGAGGCACUACGGUGCUGAAGCAACAAAUGCCCUGCUUCCAGGAAAAGCCUCUAAGCAUCAGGUAACAUCAAAUCGUACCCCAAACCGACACAGGUGGUCAGGUAGAGAAUACCAAGGCGCUUGAGAGAACUCGGGUGAAGGAACUAGGCAAAAUGGUGCCGUAACUUCGGGAGAAGGCACGCUGAUAUGUAGGUGAAGUCCCUCGCGGAUGGAGCUGAAAUCAGUCGAAGAUACCAGCUGGCUGCAACUGUUUAUUAAAAACACAGCACUGUGCAAACACGAAAGUGGACGUAUACGGUGUGACGCCUGCCCGGUGCCGGAAGGUUAAUUGAUGGGGUUAGCGCAAGCGAAGCUCUUGAUCGAAGCCCCGGUAAACGGCGGCCGUAACUAUAACGGUCCUAAGGUAGCGAAAUUCCUUGUCGGGUAAGUUCCGACCUGCACGAAUGGCGUAAUGAUGGCCAGGCUGUCUCCACCCGAGACUCAGUGAAAUUGAACUCGCUGUGAAGAUGCAGUGUACCCGCGGCAAGACGGAAAGACCCCGUGAACCUUUACUAUAGCUUGACACUGAACAUUGAGCCUUGAUGUGUAGGAUAGGUGGGAGGCUUUGAAGUGUGGACGCCAGUCUGCAUGGAGCCGACCUUGAAAUACCACCCUUUAAUGUUUGAUGUUCUAACGUUGACCCGUGAUCCGGGUUGCGGACAGUGUCUGGUGGGUAGUUUGACUGGGGCGGUCUCCUCCUAAAGAGUAACGGAGGAGCACGAAGGUUGGCUAAUCCUGGUCGGACAUCAGGAGGUUAGUGCAAUGGCAUAAGCCAGCUUGACUGCGAGCGUGACGGCGCGAGCAGGUGCGAAAGCAGGUCAUAGUGAUCCGGUGGUUCUGAAUGGAAGGGCCAUCGCUCAACGGAUAAAAGGUACUCCGGGGAUAACAGGCUGAUACCGCCCAAGAGUUCAUAUCGACGGCGGUGUUUGGCACCUCGAUGUCGGCUCAUCACAUCCUGGGGCUGAAGUAGGUCCCAAGGGUAUGGCUGUUCGCCAUUUAAAGUGGUACGCGAGCUGGGUUUAGAACGUCGUGAGACAGUUCGGUCCCUAUCUGCCGUGGGCGCUGGAGAACUGAGGGGGGCUGCUCCUAGUACGAGAGGACCGGAGUGGACGCAUCACUGGUGUUCGGGUUGUCAUGCCAAUGGCACUGCCCGGUAGCUAAAUGCGGAAGAGAUAAGUGCUGAAAGCAUCUAAGCACGAAACUUGCCCCGAGAUGAGUUCUCCCUGAC
rnacentral:rRNA from 1 species